CAGCAGCCGCGGUAAUACGAAGGGUGCAAGCGUUACUCGGAAUUACUGGGCGUAAAGCGUGCGUAGGUGGUGGUUUAAGUCCGUUGUGAAAGCCCUGGGCUCAACCUGGGAAUUACAGUGGAUACUGGGUCACUAGAGUGUGGUAGAGGAUAGUGGAAUUUCCGGUGUAGCAGUGAAAUGCGUAGAGAUCGGAAGGAACAUCUGUGGCGAAGGCGACUAUCUGGGCCAACACUGACACUGGGGCACGAAAGCGUGGGGAGCAAACAGGAUUAGAUAUCCCCGUAGUCCCUGUCUCUUAUAC
rnacentral:rRNA from 1 species